CUGCUGGCUAAGGCCCGAAAGG
rnacentral:misc_RNA from 1 species